AUGAACGAUGCGGCGGCGGUCACAUCCGAGAAGCGGAGGCGGGAAGAGCCUCUGGCGGCGGGGGCGGCGGCUUCCGCAUCGAAGAUGCGGCGGCGGGAUAAGCCGGAACCGCAGGAGGCCCCGGCGAGCGCGGACGACGAGGAUGCGACCCUCGACCGCAUCAGCGAGCUCCCCGCCGACAUCCUAGGCAGCAUCCUCUCGCUCCUCCCCACCAAGGAAGCCGCGCGGACAGCCGUUCUGUCCUCCGCGUGGCGCGACACCUGGCGAUCCGCCCCGCUCAACCUCGCCGUCGACGACGACCUCGCCGGGCAAGAGCGCAACCGCAUCACCGCCGUCUCCGAGAUCCUCGCCUCCCACCGCGGCCCCGUCCGCCGCCUCUCCCUUGACACCAUCCGCCUCGGCCGCGACCGCUUCGCCAGGUUCGACGGCUGGUUCCGGUCCCCCGCCCUCGAUGGGCUCGAGGAGCUCAACUUCUACGGAGACGGCACUCAGCCGCGGCUGCCUCCGCCGCGCCCGCUUCCCCUGCCGCCGUCUGCGCUCCGCUUCGGCCCCACGCUGCGCGCCGCCAGCAUCGGCGGCUGCGAUUUUCCCCAGAUUGAUGCGGCCCCUGUGCUCAGCUUCCCUAAGUUGAAGCGGCUCAAGCUCUACGAUGUCUGCAUCUCGGAGGCGGCCCUCCACGGCCUUCUUGCUGGCUGCACUGUGCUUGAGAGGCUUCAUCUUCAGGACAUUUACGGGUUCAGCACCGUCCGGAUCAUCUCGCCGACUCUCCGAUGCAUUGGUGUCUCUGUAUGCCCGAUGAACGAAGAACAUACAUUCCAGGAGCUUGUCAUUGAGGAUGCACCCUGCCUCGAAAGGAUGAUGCAAGUUGGUCCAGUGGUUCCAGGAAAAAUCAAGGUCAUUGCAGCGCCGAAACUGACGGUACUGGGGUACGUAUCAACCGAAAUGCACAAACUUUUGAUCGGGACCCUAAUUCUUAAGGAAAAUAUCCCCAUCCCGUUCACUGGGUCGGCAUGUACAGUGAAGAUUUUGGUUCUGGGACCUAGCAGCUCUAAUGGGGAGGCAUUUGUUGAAUUCCUUAGGUGCUUUCCCUGCUUGGAGAAGCUGUGCAUUCAGUCAUAUCUGGAGAAAGUUCGGGAAAGUGGCACACUUGUCGAUCCUAUCAACUGCCUUGAUCUGCAUCUCAGAGAAAUAGUACUGAACGGCUAUCGAGGCAAUAAACGCAAUGUUAACUUCGCCAAGUUCUUUAUUUUGAAUGCAAGGGUGCUCAAGGUAAUGAAAUUUGGUGUGUCUGGUAACUGCGACGAGAAAUGGAUUUCUAAUCAGCGCGAGCAGCUACACCUGGAUAACAGAGCUUCUACAGAUGCACAGUUUUAUUUCGGAAGAGAUGAUGUUACUUACCCUUUUUAUAUCGGAAGAGAUUAUGUUCCUUACCCUUUUUUCUACAACGAGCAUAUAUAUGGUUUGCAGAGUGAUGGCGAUAGGAAGAAACUGCCGGAGGGAUCGUCGGCGCUUCAACAGAAGGUGGUGCGAGCUCAUGAUGCAGCGCGCGCCGCGCCGGCUGGUGGUCUGCCGAUCCUUUUUUUUCAGUAA
rnacentral:rRNA from 1 species